GUACUCGCUUCAGCAACACAUUACUAAAAUUGGAUUGAUACAGAGAUGAUUAGCAUGGCCCCUGUGCAAGGAUGACAUGCAAAUUCGUGAAGCAUUCCAUAUUUUU
rnacentral:snRNA from 1 species